AGAGUUUGAUCCUGGCUCAGAACGAACGCUGGCGGCGUGGAUUAGGCAUGCAAGUCGAACGGUCAUUUGUUUGUAGCAAUACGUUCAAAUGAUAGUGGCGGAAGGGCGAGGAACACGUGGGUAAUCUACCCUUAAGUUAGGUAUAACUCUGCGAAAGUGGGGCUAAUUCCUGAUGUGCUCCUCCCGGGCAUCCGGGAGAGAGUAAAGCUGGGGACCGUAAGGCCUGGCGCUUGAGGAGGGGCCCGCGUCCUAUCAGCUUGUUGGUGAGGUAACGGCUCACCAAGGCUUACGGGUAGCUGGUCUGAGAGGAUGGUCAGCCGCACUGGGACUGAGACACUGCCCAGACUCCUACGGGAGGCUGCAGUCGAGAAUCUUUCGCAAUGGGGGAAACCCUGACGAAGCGACGCCGCGUGUAGGAUGACGGCCUUCGGGUUGUAAACUACUGUCUUCCGGGAACAAGGAAGCGUUGUUAAUACCAGCGCGACAUGAUAGUACCGGAGGAGGAAGCCACGGCUAACUCUGUGCCAGCAGCCGCGGUAAUACAGAGGUGGCGAGCGUUGUUCGGAUUUACUGGGCGUAAAGGGUGCGUAGGCGGCGCUGCGUGUCGAAUGUGAAAUCCCACGGAUCAUCCGUGGAACGGCAUUCGAAACUGCAGUGCUAGAGUGUGGGAGAGGAAGGUGGAAUUCUCGGUGUAGCGGUGAAAUGCGUUGAUAUCGAGAGGAACGCCGGAGGCGAAGGCGACCUUCUGGAACACUACUGACGCUGAGGCACGAAAGCUGGGGGAGCAAACAGGAUUAGAUACCCUGGUAGUCCCAGCCGUAAACGUUGUGAACUUGAUGUGGGAGGAAUUAUCCCCUCCCGUGUCGUAGCUAACGCGAUAAGUUCACCGCCUGGGGAGUACGGCCGCAAGGCUAAAACUCAAAGGAAUUGACGGGGGCCCGCACAAGCGGUGGAGCAUGUGGCUUAAUUCGAUGCAACGCGAAGAACCUUACCUGGGCUUGACAUGCUGGUGGUAGAAACCCGAAAGGGUAACGACUCCGCAAGGGGAGCCAGCACAGGUGCUGCAUGGCUGUCGUCAGCUCGUGCCGUGAGGUGUUAGGUUAAGUCCUGCAACGAGCGCAACCCCUGUGGCUAGUUGCUAGCGCGAAAGCGCGGAACUCUAGUCAGACUGCCCGUGAUAAGCGGGAGGAAGGUGGGGAUGACGUCAAGUCAGUAUGGUCCUUAUGUCCAGGGCUGCACACGUGCUACAAUGACCGGUACAGUGGGAUGCAAUAUCGCGAGAUGGAGCCAAUCCCUUAAAACCGGUCCCAGUUCGGAUCGCAGUCUGCAACUCGACUGCGUGAAGCCGGAAUCGCUAGUAACGGCGUAUCAGCUACGGCGCCGUGAAUACGUUCCCGGGCCUUGUACACACCGCCCGUCACAUCCUGAAAGUCGGUCGCACCCGAAGUGGCCUUACGGUCCCGAAGGUGUGGUUGAUGAUUGGGAUGAAGUCGUAACAAGGUA
rnacentral:rRNA from 1 species